GUUAGGAGAGUAAGUGCUGUUUGAAGAGCUCUGUUUUCAGGAGUUUAUUAAAGAUAGUGAGAGAUUCUCCUGAUCUGGUAGUAGAAGGUAGUUAGUUAGAGGUGUUAGGAGAGUAGGUGCUCUUUGAAGAGCUCUGUCUUCAGGAGUUUAUUAAAGAUAGUGAGAGAUUCUCCUGAUCUGGUAGUAGAAGGUAGUUAGUUAGAGGUGUUAGGAGAGUAAGUGCUCUUUGAAGAGCUCUGUUUUCAGGAGUUUAUUAAAGAUAGUGAGAGAUUCUCCUGAUCUGGUAGUAGAAGGUAGUUAGUUAGAGGUGUUAGGAGAGUAAGUGCUCUUUGAAGAGCUCUGUCUUCAGGAGUUUAUUAAAGAUGGUGAGAGAUUCUCCUGAUCUGGUAGUAGAAGGUAGUUAGUUAGAUGUGUUAGGAGAGUAGGUGCUCUUUGAAGAGCUCUGUCUUCAGGAGUUUAUUAAAGAUAGCGAGAGAUUCUCCUGAUCUGGUAGUGGAAGGUAGUUAGUUAGAGGUGUUAAGAGAGUAGGUGCUCUUUGAAGAGCUCUGUCUUCAGGAGUUUAUUAAAGAUAGUGAGAGAUUCUCCUGAUCUGGUAGUAGAAGGUAGUUUGUUCCACCAUUGGGGAAUUCUGUAUGAGAACAGUCUGGAUUGCUUUGUGUGAAUGUUUGUUUGGUAAAGCGAGGCGACGUUCAUUGGAGGGGCGCAGCGGCCGGGAGGUAGCGUUAGCCUUCAGGAGUGAUCAGUGCAGGUAGGAAGGAGCUGUUCUGUCAUCACCUUGUAGAAAUAUAUAAAUAUAUAUAUAAA